rnacentral:lncRNA from 10 species
CUCCUGAGAGGUGCCUUGAGAAACAGACACAAUGGAGCUUCUCUAUUCCAUUGGCUUCAAGUCAGGCCAGUGUUCUUCCCUGGGGCAGAGCCCUCUCCUCCCUCCUCCUCGCCACGUGCUCCCAGCCCUCAUCUCCACUGAGCACAGAUGAAUCCUUUCAUAGUGAUCUAGCAUCCAUGUUCUUUCUGUAUGCUGCAGGGAAUGAUGGAGAACUUUGAAGUGGCGGGGUUACUUUGUUAGGUUUUCAGAUCAAGAAGAGUUGUCCCUGAUGCAGAUGAUGAGAUCAUGGACUUCAAGCCUGAGAUGCUGGAGGGAUUGUUUUACAUGUGGCGGAGACAUUCCAUGGGGGCCUGAAGAUGGACUGUGGGAGAUUGUCAUAGUCCUACUUCUAGGGGCCACACUCUUGGGAGUCCUCGCCAACAGUGAGUUUGAAUUCGGCCAUGUCAUUGACCUUGUUCACUGAGACAUCCCGUAAAUGUGCCACGAACAGGAUUGAUGAAUAUUUGCAAAGUGAGACUUGCCCUCUUGAAACCCAAUGACCACAUAAAGAAGUCUGGACUGUCUCUCUGGAAAGGAGGAGAGUCGAGGUGAUGCAUGUCAGAGUCCCGUCCCUGACGAAGCAGGAGACACAACCAGCAGACUCUGCCACAGUCUUCGCGUAUAUAUCCCAUGUGACGCCUGUAUCCUCAGUCCUUGGAAAGACUCGCCCCAUGGAGAAGACAAAUUGGAUUCAUGACCAGACCUCUGAGAGGCUGCAUCUCCAGGCAGCUGGUGGGAAGCUGUCUGGAAACAAACACAUUUUCCAGCUCGCUCGACCCUCACAUUUCCAGAGCAGAAGAAUACCCUGA